rnacentral:rRNA from 1 species
UACGAAGGGGACUAGCGUUGUUCGGAAUCACUGGGCGUAAAGCGCACGUAGGCGGAUAUGUCAGUCAGGGGUGAAAUCCUGGAGCUCAACUCCAGAACUGCCUUUGAUACUGGCGAUCUUGAGUCCGGGAGAGGUGAGUGGAACUGCGAGUGUAGAGGUGAAAUUCGUAGAUAUUCGCAAGAACACCAGUGGCGAAGGCGGCUCACUGGCCCGGUACUGACGCUGAGGUGCGAAAGCGUGGGGAGCAAACAGG